AAGGAUUGGGAUGUGUGCAGCUGGGGAGAGGGAGCAGUCACCUGUAAGGAUCUGAAUGGCUAGUAACCAUCAUCUGGUGAUGCUACCCAAUGGCUUUCCUUGCGGUCAAGAUUGGGUGCCUCUUCAGUUUCUCAGUAUCCAAGUCUGUUCCAGAUAGAGGAGCAUUUUCUGGACCCGGUAUAAAGUCCCGAGAGUCCUUGAUUUCCCUGGUAUCAUCUCAGACCAAGUGGGCAUGAAUGACCACUGAAACAAAACUGAGCUGGUAGAUUCCACCUCACAGUGCAUUGGAAUCAUCGCGCAGCUGGAAGGACAGCCCAAUCUGUGCACCGCAUGCCUACCUUAGAGACGAUCUCCAUCUUCUAACGUGAUUUAUCAGUCCCCUUGGUAAUGCAGAUCAUUCAUUGCCACCUGCUCAAGAAACUCAGAGGUCAUAAAAUGUUGAAAAUCUAGAUUCCUGUGGAAGAAACUUACGGAGGGGGAAGACAAGGGGCUAUUCAACUGCCUAGGCCUUGAUAGUUUAGCCCAGCAUCAGAUGUUACCUUUCAUAUGGGUCCUUAGAGAAAGGGACCCUUCCUGGUCCCUGGGUCAUUGGUGCUGGUGCUUCCUAGUUUGGCUGUGCAGCUACAACAGACGACAUGCAACACCAGGUAUUUUCCACUCAAGGAACUUGGAAGUAGAAGGCAGAGCUCACAGAGGAAGUGUGUUGAAGAAUAUUGCAACCCAGGGAUGCUGUUCUUCAAUAGAAAUCCUAGGACAAUGUGUCAGCAAAGUGAGACAGAGAAGACCUCACAUUAUAUGCUACAAAUGUUCUCUAAAAUAGAAACAAGAUUCCAGCUCUCCAUGUUCUACCAUGAAGGUCAUAUGCUCCUUACCCAGAGAAGUCUGGUUUCUAAAAAUAAGAGAUAAGGUGCUGCUCUUAGGGACAGCUUCUAGUAGCACAAAAUGCUCUGGGCUCUGGAGUCAGAGAUAACUAAAUUCAAAUUAUUACUAUGCUUAUGCUACAUUCUAUCUCUGAUUUUGGACUGCUAAAUCAAUUAAUCAAUCUCUGUGAGUCUCUCUCUUCUCCUCUGUAACAUUAGUAGAACGAUAACCUGGAGGGUAGUUAUGAGGAGAAAAGUAGCUAAUAUAGAUUAAAGAUCCCUUCUAUAGUGCCUGUCUUUUGUAGUAGGCACUAAAUAAAUGUUAAUUCUCCACCUUCCUAAACAAGUCGCUUUUCCUUUUCCUUUUAAAAUUAAAGUUUCUGCUUUAAUUAUAACUUGGAGACUUUCUGGAUCUAAAAUCAAGCAAGAGUAUAACCCUUCUGUCAUCAGUCUCAUUCCCAGAGUGCCAUGCUUUUCCCAGCGUGUCUAACUCUAGUAGAGAUCUGAAGUUAGGACAGUCUCCCAAGGAGAGAUUAAACACUGCAUUCAUUAUGGCAGCUGGAAGGCUGCAUUAUUGCUCUUCCAAGGGGAGAGCUUCAUGGCUGUACUUAAUGAAUGCUAAUAGUUUUCUUAUCAGUGGGUAGCAAUACAAACAUUUUUGUGUAUGGUAAGGUUAAAGUAAACCUUCAGAGUAGCUUUACAAAACUUGAAAGCUACUGAUUAGUUCUUGACAAGCCUGGCUAAUAACAGGAGCUCCAGGAAGGCUAUAUAGGUCUUGCUUAGCCAGAAUACAUUAUUCUUCAGUGUUUUAUGAUUUCGCAUCUGUCCUCUCAGAGCGGGGCUGUCACACAAAUGCAUGCAGCCUUUGUGCUUUUCUUAAACCUCAAGGCAGUUGUACUCUAACCAAUGUAAUCUGGUUGCCAAGUGACGAAACACCAGAAAGCUUUCCUAAUCAGCAGAAAAAAUGUUCACAUACUUAAUUUUGCUUUGCAAAUAGAUUCAGAUUCAACUAACAUUUACCAGGCACCUAUUAUUUAGGGAAAACAUUGUUAGACUCAUUCACGUAUAUAUGCCAGUAUCCCUUUAAGAUUUGGCUUCUGAGGAAACUGGAACUUGGAGAGGAUGUAUGAGUCGCCCAAGGUCAUUUUGUCAAACUUCUAGCUGACUCCAAGUCCAAUGCACUCAACCCAGGCUGUUCACAGUGCAUUUUAAGGGCCAUCAGCCUGCUCCUUCAAGACAUCUAUGAGUGGGACAUGGUAAACUGAGGCUGGGGAGCUCAAAUUUAAACAGUUCCAAGAGAUGAUACUUCCUAAGAGCCUAUAUUCUUCAGAUUUUGUAAAGAUGAAGGCAUACAUGUCUCAAAGCUAAAAAUGAGUUUUUUAUAUAGAUAAACAAUAAAGUCAUAUCAAACAAUUUAUAUAAAUUGUAUACUGAAAUAGAUUUUAAAUAAUGUUCUCUAAUGUGCAGUUAUAAUAAUAACAGCUCAACAAAAUAAUUACACCUAAUAGCCUUGGUCUUCCACAGUCUCUUUGACACCUCCUAUGGGGGUUAUGAUUCAACCUGAUAAAAGUUAGAUAAUUCAUGUCAAAAAGCCCAUUACUCCAAAAAUCACCGAGCUAAUUCACUCCAAAUUUUGUAGCUUUUUUCAUCUCCUCUUUCAAGAAAGAAAUUAAUAGGGGAAAAAAUACUACUGGUGUGAAAAAUCUUAGCUUCAGUUUCAAAAAGUGUUUCUACCUCUAGAAAUUGAAUAACUUUGGCGAAGUUACUCAGUUUCUCUGAAAUAGUUCCUUUAUUUUUCAAGUUUGAACGAUGGCAUCUACUUCCUAAGGAUGUAUUCUGCAAAAACAUUGGUCAAAUUUCAGUUUAUGGCCUGGAAAACAUCUGCCAACACCACACAAUUAAUGAUUUUUCUUUUCUGUGGAGGGACAAAUGAAAUUAACAAAUCAUGACUGAUUUCUAUUAUGUUAAAGUGAGUCACACCAAGACCUCAGCGUGGCUUUCCCAGAAGAUAAAUUCCACACUUUGCAACAAGUGGAACAUGCAGUUCCUGCAUAGUGCUUAAUGUUGUUUCUUUGUAAUCAAGGGCUCCGCCAGCUGACUGCCCUGAGAUAAAGGGGAAGAAGUCAUGAAGGAGCCCUGAGGCUGCCAAUCAUUUCUGUACCCAGGCAGAUAAUAAUAGAAGUCAGGAUAUCUCAUGGAGGAGCAGUCCCCUAGUUUGGACAAAGCUCAAUGUCUGUACCCGCCCCGCCCCCACCAAAAAAAGUGGAUGGCCUGGAAGUGCUUGGAUGUUUGAUAGAGAACAAUCUCACAAGCAGAGGGACUGAAAUCAAUGUAAAAUCUAUGUAAAAUCUAAAUGUUGUUUAAUCCUAUUUUGUGCAGACAACAAAGAAUCACAAGAAAAACACUUUGUUUCAACUCUUAGAGUCCCAAAAUGUCUGCCUUAUUGCUUGUUUUAGAACACCAAGAAUACAAGAAUCAUCCGGAAUUAUGGCGUAAACUGAAAACAGAAGUAACGUGCGCACCUCCUAACUUAGUGAAGGCCGAUAAUUAGGCAUUAAGGUAAAGGUAGUUGCUUUCUACUAAUAUGGAGGUGAGUGAACCCUUCUCAGGAUAGAUAGGUACCAUCUAACUGGCCAGUCAUUCUAGUUAAAAGGGGCUCUCACUAUGUCACUAAGUCCUUAGCAGGAAGGGAGUUGAGCUUGCUGUAAGCUAGCCUAGAGCCAGCCCUAGUGGUUAAGAUUCAGCAUGCUUACCCCUGUGACCCAGGUUUCUUUCCUGAUCAGGUAACCACACUGCCUGUCUGUUGGUUGUCAAACUCUGGUGGCUGUGUGUUGCUGUGAUGCUGAAAACUAUGCCACUGGUAUUUCAAAUACCAGUAGGAUCACCUGUGGUGGACUGGUUUCAGCAGAGAUUCCAGACUAAGACAGACUAGGAAGAAAGAGUUGGUCACCCACUUUUGCCAUGAAAACCAUAUGAAAAGCAGUGGAGCAUUGGCUGAUACAGUCAGAAGAUGAGAGGAUGGUGCAAAAAGACCAGGCAGGGUUCAGCUUUGCUGUACACAUGGUCACUAGGAGUGAGAAUCAAUUCGACAGCACCUUCAAAACCUAGCCCAGAGGACGCACCACCAACUGCAACAUGAUCUGGGUGGAUCUAUUAAAGAGCUGGAAUUUGUAGGGUGAAGACCUGCUGAAAUUGCAUUUAUCCUUGUGACCACUAGGCGUCUCUGCCAUGAACUCAGUAACCUCUAAAGUCAAAAGCACGUUCAAAAGCACCUCAACUAUCUCAGAGGUCAACACGGGCUCGAAAGGACCUGACUGGACUGUCUGACUUAACUAAUUCAUUCUUUUAUCUCUAUUCUUUCUAAGGCAUUCAAGCAUAGGGGCAUAGUUUUUCAUGACCACGUGCAAAGAUCAUCAAUGCAGCAGAACAUACAUCCACAGACAAAACAUUACCUUGGAGAAUGCCAGCAGUCGUCAACAGCUGCCUCCAAGUGACUUUGCCACUUUAAAUAGCUCCCUCGCCUUCUUUGUGCUGUUGUUAGAGGCAGUUUGGUUAAAUUCAUAGGAUAGUGAGGCUUCCAAGAAUAUAAUCUGCCCUGCAAACCAAUAGAUUUAGAAGAAACGAAACUUCUGCUGGUAGAUGACAGAGUCAGGGUGUCAACUCAAUCCAUUAGAAAAAGUUUGUGUUUUGAAGUCCUUCCAUUCUACUUAAAAGAUAUGGAGUUGUCAUAUCCUGAACUCAACUCCACUCACGAUCUUUUCUCUCUUAAUGAAUCAACCACUGUAUUAUUCUUAGAGGUGGAGUCAUUUUGGAAGUGGAAGAAAAUUAUCCUUGUACGUGUCAAAGUUUGUCAAAUAUCUCAAAAUCUCUGGGAAUGAGGAUGGCAGACAUUAAAUUUAAGACAAAUAUAGAAACUUGACAAUAAUGCCUCUUGAGUGGCGAAUCUUUCACCUUCAUAAUCUGCCAAAACUCAAAUUUUGGAGACCUGAAACCUGAGGACGUGACAAUGAAAAUAGACUUUACUUGCUGCAAGAGAAACUUCAGCUUCACCACCACCAUCUCACUACCAUCCUUAACUCCUCUUCUCUGCCCAACUUAACCCUCAAGAAAACAAACCCGGGUCAGCAGCAUAUGCUUGGGGUUAGAUUGCCCAAUUUGCUGAAGCCUCUGAGGUAGAAAUUGUGUCUAGAUUAGAAUCUCCACCCUCUGUUUUCUAUCUAACUGUCAAGGCGCUUCCUGUCUUUGUCCAGCAGUGCUCACAGAGCCCCUUUGAAGAGGACAACAUCCCGACGCUGCUGAGAGCAGAUAAACGCCUGUUGUUUUACCGGGCUGGGCGGGGGAGAGGGUGGAAACCUCUUUGCCGUGCACAAAGGCAGCCUGAUAAUAACAAAUUGCCUUGUCAACCACAAGAGAUACUUAGUUAUUAAUGGAAAUAAUAACAGAUUAUAUCAGCUUGUGCACUGUAAUCAAAAGGAAGAUCAAAGGGAGCUAAUAUUACGAACCGUUAGCGGUGGAGACAUGCUAAUGAGAUAAAAACCACUUUCAUUUCCCCCGUCCCAAACGCACCAGUAGAAUAAUCAUUGAUAAUAAAUAGCAUCAUUUAAACUUGGACAAUAUAUUUAAUACCCACAGUCCAGCCACACCAGUGUGGCUUUUUCCUAUUAGAUAAAAUUGUUUUCAAUGUUAAAAAAAUACUUAAUUUCAUUCCGCUGGUGUUAGAGGACUAGAUGAUUGCGAGCCAUCGAACUAAUCUCAGCUGCUUCAGGCUCAACUCCCCUUGCCUUUGGUUGUGAUUGCAAACAUUUGAGCAGAGAGCUAUUCCAGUUCUUAAUAAUCCAGCAAGGAUACAGAGCCUGACAAACCACUCUCUGAUUUGUCAUUAGGAGACUAUUGCUAUCGCAGUAGAGUACUUCUUGUAUUUCCCCAAUCUGCCCCACCAUUAAGUCAGCCCUCUGUUACUUUGAAGCACUUUACAAAUAUUAGGGUGUGCCAAGGCCAUUCUCAGGAGGUACACAGGUAUUUCUAUCACCUUUCCUCCUAUAAAGAAAAUGACAAAAGAGAUCACUGACCAUGAGUUAUUUUAUUCUUACAAAAUCUUGAUUUGAUUUUCCACAUUCAAAUUAUUAAAUUUGCCUUACUCCACAACAAACACAUAAUAUUUGGCUAAUAAUUUCUAUGCGUUACCAAGGAUACUUAAUAUUCCCAACUUUCUUUACAAAAAAUGAAGGUAAGAAUGACUAACAUAAGAGGAACAGAGCUGGCUAAGAACUCAUUCAGACAUAAAAUCUCAAAGUGCUGACAAUACACUGACUUUACCUUCCAAAAAAUAAAGAAACUGAAGCCCAGAGAGGUCAAAGGCAGAAGCCAUUGAUUUUAGCCCCUGGCUGCAUCAUUUGCUUACUUUAUGAACUUAGAAAUACAAUGAUUACAUUUAAUCUCAAAAAUCUUUGUUUUCUAAAUUUAAGGAUAAUAAUUCUUAUCCUUCUUUCAUCAGAGCAUAAAGACAGAUUAAAAGAUUUCCCUUUGUAAACUGUAAAACAUGCUGUGUGAAUAUGAAGUUAUGAUGCAAUAUUGUAUAUCAAUCAUAACAGUAAACAUGCUUCAAAAGUAGGGAUUGUUUUUACUUUCAAUAAAAAGUGGAGUAGAGAUCUUCUGCAGGAGAAAAACAGAAAUAUUCCAGAAGACAGAACGCAAAAGUGUUCUCAAGGAGGGAUGAAAUCAGAGUGGAGGGAAGGGACGUCAGCAGAAAACAAAAACAGAUGGCUGCAGGGGUGAGAGCUAUUCUUCCAGGCAGAGUUCCAGGGAUGCUCUGAGUUCUACCCUGGCAGGUGUGGGGAGCAUGACUGGGCUGUGGGUCAGAAAAACAUUAAUUAUAAAGAUUCCACUAUAUGAAAUAUUUGGACCAUUUCCCUACGUUUUCUCCUCCUUCCCCCUCAAUCUCUGUCCAUACAGUGAAACAAGCAACAAUCUACUUGCCCCAUAGAAUAAAGUAGACAUAUCAAAAGGAUGUGAAGGCCAAAGACAGAACAAUUUGAACAUUAAAAUAAUUAUUGAAACAGAUUAUAACAUAUUGAGUAAAGUAGGAAUGCAUGAGCUUGCACUGAUAUGAAUAAAUAAGGAAAUAAAUAAGGGAGAAAGUAAAAGUCUACCACACAGUAAAAUGUCAAAUAAUAUUAAUAAGUAAAAAUACUUACCAAUUAGCAUUAGAGUGAAAAAACCUUGCAGAUAACAUCUUAACCAUGUGAUAAAAUUAAUAUCACCAGUAAUGAGGCACAGUGUCCCUGAGAAUCUUCCAGUGGGGUCAACCAGCAGCCCUGUUGUGGUAUGCCUACCAAAGUUUUACAACCUGAAUCUGACCGUGAGGAGCUUCACACAAAUCUAGAUUGCAAGCUAUUCUGUGACGUAACUGCUCCGUACUAUUCCAAAGGGUCAAGGUCAUAGAAAACAAGCAAAAGACUGAAAGUAUUUUCCAAAGCGAAGGCUAUCAAAGAAAUUAGACAACAAACACACAGGAAUUUGGAUAGAAUCAUCAAUCUGUCAAAAAGAUUUUGAGGACAAACAGCAAAAUUUGAAUGGGUCUUUGAAUUAGAAGGUAGUAUUAUCUCAGUGUUGAUUUUCUGAUUUGAAUGAUAACACCAUGGCUUUCUAGGAGUGUAUCCUUCUUUUUAGGAAAUGCACACUGAAGCACCAAGAUGUAAUGAGGAUCCACACUGGCAACUUACUCCCAAAUGGUCAGGAAGGAGAAAGCAGCAAUAUGUAUGAAUAAAUAGAGUAAUAAGAGAAGUGUGUCAGUUUGUUAAUGCUGGUUGGUGUGCCUGGACUGAAUUGUGUCCCUCCGAAAUUCCUAUGUUGAAGCCCUCUCCCCCGGUACCUCCAAAUGCAGCUGUAUUUGGAGAUGGGACCUCUCAGAAAGUAAUUAAGAUUAACGAGGUCAGAUGGGUGAGCUCUAAUCCAAUCUCACUGGUGUCCUGAUGAGAGAAUGUAUGUUACUUAAAAAUAAUAUUGACAAUAUAUUCAAAAGAAAAAUAAUUAGUGUAUAGAGGUUAGCAAUCCAGAAUAAAAUCGCCUUAUAUUGGUAUUUGAGGUAAAUGUGGGGCACAACCAGCCUGCCUUCCCUGUGUCUACACACUCUAACACACCAGUCAACAUGGCCUGUCCCCAUUCAUGGAACAAUGAAGCACACAGCAGCAUCUACUUUAUGCAGAAAUAUACAUCUGUAAUUAUUAACUUCAGAUAUUUUCAAAAAUAUAUUAUAUCUGUAAAACAAGAACAGGCUACUACAGAAAAGGACCAAUGGAAAAAAAUAACAAAGUGUUGAAAAUGUGAAAUGUGAUUGCUUAAAUUAAAAACAAAAAAGUCAGUAGAAAGGCUGGAAGUUGAAGUAAAGAAAAAUCUCCAGGAUAUAGAGCUAAAAGGAGACCCAAAAGAAAAGAGAAGAUGGCAAAAAUGAAAUAAUAUUUAAGAUACACAGAGUCAGUGUAGGAUCUUCAAAGAGUUUGAGAAAAAGAGAGAAUGGGAGGGAGGGAGGGAGAGAGGGAGAGAGAGAAAGAGAAAGAGAAGGGGAAUAAUGAAGAGCAAAUGAAUGGAGGAAUGACGUUAAUCAAUGUAAAGGUAGAAUAUAAUUUCCUAGGCUGGAGAGAGACGUCAAUUUUUAAUCAUUUUAAUUGCUUUAAUUUUUAUGUUUGAGUAUUUUAAAAUAAGCUAUAGGCAUUCUGACAAACCACCACUAUGUAUUUCACUAUUUAUUUCCAAAACAAGAGCAUUUUUCAACAUAGCCAAAAAUUUAUUACUCCUAGAAAUGAAUAAUUUCUUCCUUUAAUCUAAUACCACAUCAAUAUAAAAUUUUUGCCAAUUGUUCCAACACGUAUGUCUAUAUCUCUUUCAUCUAAAUAUCUAUAUCUCUCUAUAUCUAUGUCAAUUCUCAUUUUUCAUGGUAGUUAUGCUCUAUAAAGUCACCAUGAACACUGACUUAGCAAACACUGAACUAUUGCUUUUGCUGGAGCCUCUGGUCACAACAUUUACCACCAUUUGCAUAGUAUUGGUUUGUUUGCCAGUGUCCUUAUAAAACAAGCCAGUCUCGGUAGUGUUUAAAACCUGCCUUUCUAUACAUAACUCUUUUUCUUUGUAACACUUAGAAGGUAUUUUUGUAAGUUCUUCUGCUGCCUUCUGAUCACAGAGCCUGCCUGUCCUGCAAGUUUAACAUUUUUCACGCCACAUUAUCUUUUGAAAAGUGCAAGCCAGGCCAUACUAGCUGAGAAGGGUUUUAGGUUUUCCUGACCCAGGGUAACAUAGCUGCAAAUAUCUUUGAUUCCUGGCCUCAUUACAAUGCUGCCCCCUCAACUUUUCUUAUCUGUCAUCAUCUCAUGAAUCCACAAAUUUAGCCACUUUUCCAGCGCUUCAUCACACCCUAUAGAUGUUAACUUAAGCACUUUUCAGAGCAGCCUCAUGUACAGAUCCGUAAAUUUCCUCUUCCUUUUUUGGAUGUACCAUAUUUUUGAUUCAUUAACAUUGAACUCACAACCAACAGCAUUAUAACUUAUGCAUGAAUGGAACUCAUCUAAGCCACGUUUUUGUUCGCUGUAAGGUACAUCAGUCUUCCUGCAUUUAGGACCCCAGACGGUACUCCAGUACUGCUCCUGGAAGCCAUUUUAAACAGUAAAAUCAGCAUUUAAACAGCAAAAUCAUCAAAGAAAAAGCACAAAAAUGUGAAAAACGUGACUUUAAAUAGGAAGCAGAAAGGAUGCUAGUCUACAGUGUAAGAGCUUAAUGGGAAGGCAGGCACUGCCUUGUUUGACCUUAGCUGGGAAAUGCCCGAAGGGCAACUCGAAGUUUCUGUUGCUCUGGUAUAGCUGUGAAUGAAUCAGGAAGUGCUCCAACUAUUGAUUUGGGGGUUACAAAGAAAUUUUGGCAAGUAGGUGAAUUCACAAAUAUGAAAUUUGCAAAUAAUGAGGAUAGCCUGUGUGUGUCUAUGUGUGUGUGUUUUUGCAAACUAGUUUGGCUCAAGCUUUGAUAUAGAAUGGUGUUGCACACUUGAUGAACUAUAUGAUUUGAGUGUUACUGGACAACAUUUACUCCUUUUGCAGCUCAAAUUAUGAUAUUUAAUUUUGUAAUUAAUAACGUUUAUAAAAUAUAGUGUUGUAAAUACCAUUUAUUGGCUUUUUUAAUGUUAAAAUUAACUUAAAGACAAAACACGGAUGAUCUAACGACAGUAUAAAUGUUAUAAACAGACAGUGUAAGCUCUCUCUCACAGAAAUUGAAUGAUGGAUGAGAAAGGUCAGUUAGAGAAAAGGUUAGGGAUGCAACAGCUCUCAUUUAGUCUAAUUGGGAGUCAAGAUAAUUUUUAUCGGGUAAUCAAUCAAAAAAUAUAAGCUAAACUACAUUACAAUAGUCUCCCAUUUUCAGCAAAAUCAGUUUAGAUAAUCUGACAAAUCAUCCAUCUGAACCAUUAAACAUGCUGAAUAAAAUAUACUUUUAAAAAUAUUUUUAAAUGUAUCAAUAAGUAGGGAAGAAAAUAAAUACUUAGAGCCUGAAAACUAAAUAAAAGAAUCUAACAGAGGAAAUCAGAACACUGAAGCUGACUUUUGCCUUAAAGUAUUUGUUAAAACAGGUGAACUUGGGCUAUACCAUUUCAGCCAGGCAAGAUACAGAGGAAAAUGUACAGAGACUAGAGCCAAGGAAAGUGGGGACUAUGAAGAAACAUACCCAAAGGGCUGGACCUAGGCAGUUCUGGGUUUUGCUAAGCUUAUACAAUUUUUAAGUGUGCUUUUAAGAAAAAGAAUACAUAUUUACAAAUAUAAGGUUGGUCCUAUGCAAGUAAGGGAGUCUGAAACUUAAGCUUUAUUGGCUUCAUAAAAGAGCUUCCUCUAGCUUAAGUCUACGUAGUUUGGGAGAAUUAGUGAUAAACUACCAGAGGACUUCCUUGAUAAACUAUAUUUUCUUGGUAAGUCAUAAUAUCAAACUGCUCUCCUUAAAGGUGUGAGUGGUCAAAAAAAAAAAGUUGAGCUGAGAAUUUAGAAGGGUCCCAAGUUGGUAGUGUUUCCAUUUACCUUGCAAAACCACCUUCAACCAAUGUUAGCCACAACUAGGAGAUGAUAUUUGAGUUCAAAAGAAGUGAAACAAAGAUUAGAGCACAAAAUGUGUAAAAGUAACUUCUUAAAAUAGAAAGAAAAGAAAAAUCAAAGAAACAGGAAAAGACAUCACAGAAAGGAAAUGUAAAUAGCAAAUAAAUAUAUUAAAAGAUUAUUGAUAUUAUUAUAAUUCAGGAAGAUAAGAAUUUAAGAUUUAUGCCACAACAUGAAUGAACCUUAAAAACAUUCUGUUAAGUGAAAUAAGCCAGUCACAAAAGAAUGAAUACUGUAUGAUUCCAUUUAUGUAAAAUACCCCAAAUCAUUAAAUGCAUAGAGACAGAAAGUACAAUAAUGGUUUCCAGGGUCUGCAAGGAGGGAGGAACAGGGAGUUAUUGUUUAAUCUACAUAGAGUGGGGAAAUCAAUAAAAGAACACUUAACUAAACUGGAGUUGGGAAGACUUGUAGGGAGAACUCUCACGCCCUAUCAUACAUCAUCAAUUACACCAAACAGGAGGAGCUGAACACUUGCAUCCUCAACAAGAACUAAAACUAUUUUACUACUGAAGGAAGAUUUCUCUCCCCACCCAGUCAAUGAGAAAAGCUGCAGCUCGGCCAAUGAGAAGGCCAUGCUGCCCUGAACUGUUACUUUCCCCCAAUGAACUUUCAUUUAGAACAGCCCCUCCCUACUCCCCCUUUAUCUCUAUAAAGGCACUUCCCUUCCUUUGUUUUCUGUGUUUGCCUAUGGAUUGCUAUAGCAUGAAUAUCCCAUAUUGCUAUUCCUGAAUAAACUCAUUUUGAGAUAAAAUAAUAGGCAAAUUUGCUUUUGAA